ACAUAAUCACUUUCGUCUUCUCCUCAUUUUCUUCGCACAAAAGUCAUCAUACACAAAACAAGCUCAAACUCAUACGCAAACAGAAACAUAAAAGGAAACAGUGAAAGUGUAAGAAGAAGAAGAAGAAAGCAAGUAGUCACGUUUUCCCUUAUGUAAUGCAUCAAAAAAAAUCCGAACUCCAGAUCGGAAAAGAAAGCACCGGCAUCUCUUCCGAUUUCAACCCCCUCCACCACCACCACCACUCCCACCCUGUCCCGAACCUAACUCCCAACCACAACCUCGAAACCCUAACCUCUACCGCCCCCUACAAAAGACCCUCUCUCUCCAAAUCCCAAACCCUCCACAGAUUCCCAAAACCGCGCCACGCCACCGCUCCCUCGGUCACAAGCGCCGGCGCAACCGCCACGUGGCUCUCCUCAGCCGUCUCCCUCCGACGGCGCCUACGUCAUCGCGUGCGCCUCUUCCUCUUCCUCUCCUUCCCCUUCUUCUACUUCCUCGUCUCCCACCCUACGAACUCCUUCCUCCUCGAUUUCCUGUCGGCGUUUUUCUUCUCCGCCGCGCUCUUCUUCUCGCUCAACCUCGCCCUGCCCCGAAUCCCCUCCCUCCGCCUCUUUCUCAAGCCCAAGGCCCGGCCUGCUCUCAAGCUCCCCGUGUUCUGGGCCCGGCCUGCCCUGCCCGAGUUUCAAUUCUCCGUGGUUGCGUAUUCUAACGGCGACGUUUACGAGGGGGAGUUCAGGGGAGGAAAGUGUUGUGGGAGUGGGGUUUACUACUACAGCAUGAGUGGAAGGUAUGAGGGGGAUUGGGUGGAUGGGAAGUACGAUGGCUUUGGGGUGGAGACGUGGGCCAAGGGGAGUAGGUACCGGGGGCAGUACCACCAGGGGCUCCGCCACGGGUUUGGGGUCUAUCGGUUUUACACCGGCGAUGUUUAUGCCGGACAGUGGGCUAGUGGGCAGAGCCAUGGCUGUGGGGUGCACACGUGCGAGGAUGGGAGCAGGUACGUGGGGGAGUUCAAGUGGGGCGUUAAGCAUGGCCUUGGACACUACCAUUUUAGUUUACAAGGGAAAGAGGUAUCUGCUGCCAAGGGAAAUAGGUAUCUUCAAAGAAAUGGGGAUGCAUAUGCUGGUGAAUACUUUGCGGAUAAGAUGCAUGGGUAUGGAGUAUAUAGUUUUGCAAAUGGUCAUUGUUAUGAAGGAUCUUGGCAUGAUGGCAAAAGGCAAGGUCUUGGAAUGUAUACGUUUAGAAGUGGAGAAACCCAGUCUGGUCACUGGCAAAAUGGAGUCCUUGACAUUCCCAGCACACAGAGUGCCACCUAUCCUGUUUCUCCGGUUGGUGUCAAUCAUUCUAGGGUACUAAAUGCAGUGCAGGACUGGAGUUUGUGACAGGUGAUUGACACCGGAUAUGAGUCUCAUGGUCUUUAUCAUCUCUGCCCUUCUACCAAAACUUUAGAUUCCAAUCCUCCACCACCUCUUUAGGUUUAUAGUCAAAGACAUUGUUCCCAACAACCACCAACAACCACCAAGUGACUCACUUCAAGUGCCAACUAUUAUGUCUUCUCCGACUCCGAGAAUUGUUUCACCUACCAAUUGCCCUUUGUAAAGGAAGCAAGAAGAGCAGCUGAGAAGGCCUAUGAUGUGGCCAAGGUAGAUGAAAGAGUGAAUAGAGCAGUAGCAGCUGCUAACAGAGCAGCCAAUGCAGCUAGAGUAGCUUCUGUCAAGGCUGUGCAAAAUCAAAUGCACCCAAUCUCCAUCGUGUGAGGGUAUCAGCUGCAACUUUUGUUACAGUAAAGAUGCACGAGAUUGUUGGGAGAGGUCGAUAUUUUAAAGUGCACCAUUUACACUGCCAUCAUCACCACAGGCUGAGAGCAAGCAGAUUUAUUAUCCUCUGCCUUAAGUCUUGUAUAGAGGGAGAAAGGGUGAUGGCUUCCACUUGGUAAAAAUCUACAUAUAUAUAUAUAUAUAUAUUUUUUUUUUUUCCUUUGCCUACAUGUAAAUUUAUGUAGAUGUAAAUGCUUUGGUAUGCGGGUGAAACCUCAACCCGGCUACUGUUGUAAUAUCACUUGGUAAAAUAAGGAGAAACAUCUAGCACAAAAUCUUCUAUUUUCCCUGCUUGA